UCCUACGGGAGGCAGCAGCAAGGAAUUUUGUGCAAUGGGCGAAAGCCUGACACAGCGACGCCGUGUGGGGGAUGAAGGCCUUCGGGUUGUAAACCCCUUUUCUCAGGGAAGAAUAAUGACGGUACCUGAGGAAUAAGUCGUGGCUAACUACGUGCCAGCAGCCGCGGUAAUACGUAGGCGGCAAGCGUUAUCCGGAUUUAUUGGGCGUAAAGAGGGCGUAGGUGGUUUUUCAAGUCGAUUGUAAAAUCUCCCGGCUUAACUGGGAGGGGCCAGUCGAUACUGUUAGACUAGAGGGCAGCAGGAGGAGGUGGAAUUCCCGGUGUAGUGGUGAAAAUGUGUAGAUAUCGGGAGGAACACCAGUGGCGAAGGCGGCCUCCUAGGCUGUUUCUAACGCUGAGGCCCGAAAGCGUGGGGAGCAAACAGGAUUAGAUACCCC
rnacentral:rRNA from 1 species